UACAGCUCAGGUGAGACUGUCAUUAGUGUGACCAGCUUGGCCCCAUUGCAGCCCAAGAAAGGCAAGAGGCGGAAGAAGAAGGCUGAUAUUCCUCCUGCAGUCCCUGCCAAAGCUCCGAUAACCCCCAUGUUCCAUAAACCGAAGCUACUGAAACCACAAAGGAAAGUCACCUUGCCAAAGAUUGCUGAGGAAAAUUUGACCUAUGCCGAGCUGGAGCUGAUCAAACCCCAUCAAGCUGCCAAGGGCAUCCCCACCAGCACUGUCUAUGCCCA